UGCUUGUCUCAAAGAUUAAGCCAUGCAUGUCUAAGUUCACACCCUCGUACGGUGAAACCGCGAAUGGCUCAUUAAAUCAGUCGAGGUUCCUUAGAUGAUCCAUUUCUACUUGGAUAACUGUGGUAAUUCUAGAGCUAAUACAUGCCCAACAGCUCCGACCCCGGGCUUCGCGGUUCGGGGAAAGAGCGCUUUUAUUAGUUCAAAACCAGUCGGGGGUUUCGGCCCUCGUGCUUUGGUGACUCUGGAUAACUUUGAGCCGAUCGCAUGGCCUCGAGCCGGCGACGCAUCUUUCAAAUGUCUGCCCUAUCAAAUGACGACGGUACGUGAUCUGCCUACCGUGUUGACUACGGGUAGCGGGGAAUCAGGGUUCGAUUCCGGAGAGGGAGCAUGAGA
rnacentral:rRNA from 1 species